GCCUGCACAUUUUGGCAGACUUCCCAAUGCAGCAACCAUUUCUGUAUGCAUAUCCUUUGUACAUGAAUACCUAUCUAAAUUUUUCCUGUCAAUUUCAUCACUCAUGUCCUUAUCUAGGUCAUGCACAAUAGAACUUUUAUGCAACAUCUCCAUCUGACUGGUACCUGUGCAACUCUUUUCUACUUGCUGCAUGCCGACCCUGAUGUCUAGGGUAAAUACAGUGUCAAUAUCUGAGCUGUUGACUGAGAACUCUGUUUCUUCAUCAAAAGUGUUUCCUUGCUCCUUCUACUCUUGCUCUUACAUGGACAAGUUAUAAUUCCUGGGUAUCUAAAAGAAGCAAAUAUAAGGAUAAAAUGUUGUGGUGAAGGAAGGAAGGAGAAUCAAGAAAUUAAUGUUUAAACCAUCUACAGCUCACAAAUCAAGGUAUUGUGUGAUAAAGGAGAAAUAGGACGUGAGCAGGAGGCUCGGAUAUGACUGUAAUGUCAGCUUCCAUGGUGCCAGUUUUGCUUCUUGUCAUGGUCAUUCCAGUGGUGUAGAGCACUAUCUCCCCAAAGGUGAGGUCAUGUAUCUGUUGCCUGUACCUGCUGGUUACGUGCUGCUCUUUGUAGUCUGGAUACUCUUAUCAUGCAAGAGAGAUGAAAGUGUACCAAAUUCAAUGGCACAAUGUGUCUGAGUGCUGGGCCUAAAAUGGUUGAAUAUUGGCAGUGUGCACCACCUUUGAGAUGUGUGUGAGGUCCACAGUAGCAUUAAUUGUAUGAGGUUGAGUUGAAAUUAUGAAUGUUACACGUGAGUUGUGUUUGCUAUCAAUUGCUCCCAAGUAAAGGGGAGGUGUUACUGGAGGUGUGUGGGGCUACUGAUGCUGUUGGUGGAAAAUGGCAUUUGAGGAUGGAAUCGCUGAUCUUGAUUACUCACAUGAGAUCAUUAAACGUCUGUAGUAUUGUAUACAGCUUGUGGGAUGCUUCACUGCUGAUUUUAACUGUGUACUGACUACCUCCUGUUAAUCUCCUACAGCAAGGCCUCCAGUGUUCUUAUCACAUGCUUUUUUCUGUGAUGCAAGUCCCGUUCAAGAGGCAAAAAUAGUGGAGACCUAUUUUGUGAUGCACUUGUGCAGUUCUUAAAAUCUGGAUCAAAAAUACUACUGGCAACGGCCUGAGAGGAGUAUGUUUCAGGAAAUAAUACUUGGAGAAAAGAAUACAUUAAAUGGCAGUUAAUAACAGAACAUAAUGUAAUUGUCAGUUUAGUUUUGAUUGAUCAAACUUUUAUACUGUGCAUGGUUCAGUUAUAUAGAAAUUCUAAAUUGGAUAGAGUAGAGUCAGUCCUGUACUUCUGAGUAAUUUGUCAUAGCAAACAAUGAAAUGAUGCUACCAGGUAACUUUAUUUUGCUAUUUAAAUUUCAUAAAUAUUAAGUAGAUGUGUUUGAUUUAACUGAUAUGAGAGUUUGACUUUGUUUUGUAGCACAUGUUAAAUUGUUCAUUAUUUCACUCUGUGUUUCUACAGAGCACUAAUUGCACAAAAAGAAUGCAUCAGAAGUAGAAUUUGCUCUUUGGGAUGAGGUAGUAGGUUGUAUAGUUUUAGGGUCACACCCACACUGGGAGAUAACUAUACAAUCUACUGUCUUUCCUAAGGUAGCAGAAUAUCUUCCACAGCCAACUAACGCCAGUUGAUAUGUUGCAUGUAGUGCUGUUAUAUAACUAUUAUACAGAAGUGGCAUUUUGAUCUUGUACACGCUAUUUAAAUUUCUUUCUAGGUAUUGACAGCAAACACAAAUUUCAAUCAUGCAGUAUAUUUUCUUAGUUUGUUUCUUUUAUUUCCACUUCUGUGUUAUACUUUUUUCGGAAUUGUGGAAUUGAAAUAAAGUCUUGUAGUCUA